ACGAAGGGAAACGACGAAUUACGACGUCGACGUCGACGUCGCGACGCUCGGGGAACUCUUGCGAUGAGCGCUGCUGCCUUUUCCGAAGAGGCGAAGAGGCAGUGCUGAGGUAGUCGUUACAAUGCCACCAACCCUGCUGACGCUCUCGACUGUGUCAAACCUCGAGGGUACAUUACAACAACAAUAAUAAUAAUUAGCAUAAUCGUAAUAAUCAUAAUAGUAGUAAUUACAAGUAAUAGAAACAUAAUUAUUGUGCACAGGUACACACGCAUAUACUUAUAGAUAGACAUACAUAGAACAUCUUCGCCGCUUUCCAAGUAAAAGGAACUAAACAUAAAUACAAUAACAAAAUAUUUAAAAAACAGAAGACAUAUAAAAAAGGUGAAAAUAAUAAUAAUAAUAUACGCAAAUAUCGAAAGGGAAGAAAAUUUAACGCUCAACGACGCCGAGAACUUGGAUGAAAAUAAUAAAUAUACAUAAAUAAAUACGAAAAGAAUCAGAAAAUUUGUAUAUGAGAAACGAAACACAUAAAAAAACAAACGAGCUACAAAGCUAAAUAGUCCAAAAGAAUUAAUUUUUACACGGAGAUAUGUAAUUACAAUAUUUGCAAUUGAAAAAGAAAAAUACAUGAUACAUAAAAUUGGUGACAAGAAAUAUCAAUAAAUAUACAUGUAUACGUAAUACACAACGUAAAUAAUAAAUGAGAUAGUUGAAAUAUAAGUGUGAUGAAAAAGUGAUUGAUUAUCAUAUGGUGUGAUUAUUACAUAUGAUAAUUUUGGUGGUGGCUAAUAAUAAAUUAUUCUGCAGUGUAUAUAAUAUGGUAUAUAAUAUAUUUAUUCAGUGAGAUUUAUUUUAUUAUCACAACGUAUAGAACGAAAAAGAGAAUUUAAUAUUGAAGAAUCGUGGUAUAGGAAUAACAAGUGUAUGUUUAUAUUAAAAACGAAUGUAUAAUAUGUUGUGUAUAAAAAGAAUAAUAAUAACAACAACAAAUUCGUGAAAUAAACCAAAAAAAGAAAAAAAAUUAAUAAAAACAAAAACAAAUAAAAGAAAUCCAAAGAACCAAAAUUCGAAAAUUAAGAAAUAAUUAUAAAUAAUAACUAAAAUCACUCUAAAAGUCAGGUGGAUGAAAUUAUUAUUAUAUUAUUAUAAUUAUUGCUAUAGCUCGUUGUGAAUAUCAUACCAAUAGAGGAUGAGGAUAUUUAUUAAUGAAAAAACGAAACACACAAAAAAGAAAAACAAAAAAUACUCAAAAUAAUGAUGACAACAAUAAUGAUCAUACCAAAUAACAAAUAAUUAAUCAAACAAUUUUUAUGGGGUAAUAACGAAUAUAAAUAUAACGAAUGUAUAAGUGUAACGAAAUAUAAAGUGAAUAUUAACGAAAAUAUAUACCUAAAAAGAGUGACACAAAAAGGAAAGGAGAGAAGUGUGGCAGAGAGCAGCUGCUGCACCUGCGCAAGAAACCAAAAUCGCCGAGAUAUAUAUCUGCAUUAUAUAUCAACUUUACCUGCUACGCCACCUACAUAUAUGAAUAUUGAAUAGGGGGAUAAGGAUUUAUAAGUAAAAUCGAGAUUACAUUAUUCAUAAAAAGAAGAAAUUCCUCAAAAUUGGAAAAUCAAUCAACAGCAGUCGCAUACAACGAGAAAACUCGAACUCACGAUCCUCUAUCACAGCAUAUAGAUGAUCAUCGGAAAUUGUAACGUCGACUUAACGAGAGGGAUGGUGGAAUGCGUGGGGCGGAUGAAAGUCGUCGACAUUUGACGAGGAUAGAAAAAAAUCAUCCUGAAAUAAUUUCCCCCCCCCCCCCCC
rnacentral:lncRNA from 1 species